GUGGAGAUGAACAUUAUGUUGGAGAGCUCCUUGAAUGCAAAGGAGAAAAUAAUCUCUGAGUUGAAUAUGGAGCUUCAUAACAUGGAAUCCACAUUAUUAAAGGGGAGGGAGCAGCAUUUGAAUGAGAUAAAGAAGUUGAAUGCACUAAUCAAUGAAAAGGAUAGUACUCGAUGGA